rnacentral:rRNA from 1 species
UACGUAGGGCGCGAGCGUUGUCCGGAAUUAUUGGGCGUAAAGAGCUCGUAGGCGGCUUGUCACGUCGAUUGUGAAAGCCCGAGGCUUAACCUCGGGUCUGCAGUCGAUACGGGCUGGCUAGAGUGUGGUAGGGGAGAUCGGAAUUCCUGGUGUAGCGGUGAAAUGCGUAGAGAUCGGAAGGAACACCAGUGGCGAAGGCGGCUACCUGGACAGAUACUGACGCUGAGGCGCGAGAGCGUGGGGAGCAAACAGG